AUUGAACGCUGGCGGCAGGCCUAACACAUGCAAGUCGAACGAGUGGCGGACGGGUGAGUAAUGUCUGGGAAACUGCCUGAUGGAGAGGGAUAACUACUGGAAACGGUAGCUAAUUCCGCAUACCAUCAGAUGUGCCCAGAUGUGAUUAGCUUGUUGGCGGGGUAACGGCUCACCAAGGCGAAGAUCCCUACCUGGUUUGAGAGGAUGACCGGCCACACUGGAACGGAGACACGGUCCAGACUCCUACGGGAGGCAGCAGUGGGGAAUAUUGGACAAGGGGCGCAAGCCUGAUGCAGCCAUGCCGCGUGUAUGAAGAAGGCCUUCGGGUUGUAAAGUACUUUCAGUGGGGAGGCGUUACCCGCAGAAGAAGCACCGGCUAACUCCGUGCCAGCAGCCGCGGUAAUAC
rnacentral:rRNA from 1 species